rnacentral:rRNA from 1 species
UGGGGAAUAUUGCACAAUGGGCGCAAGCCUGAUGCAGCCAUGCCGCGUGUAUGAAGAAGGCCUUCGGGUUGUAAAGUACUUUCAGCGGGGAGGAAGGCGAUGGGGUUAAUAACCGCGUCGAUUGACGUUACCCGCAGAAGAAGCACCGGCUAACUCCGUGCCAGCAGCCGCGGUAAUACGGAGGGUGCAAGCGUUAAUCGGAAUUACUGGGCGUAAAGCGCACGCAGGCGGUCUGUCAAGUCGGAUGUGAAAUCCCCGGGCUCAACCUGGGAACUGCAUCCGAAACUGGCAGGCUUGAGUCUCGUAGAGGGGGGUAGAAUUCCAGGUGUAGCGGUGAAAUGCGUAGAGAUCUGGAGGAAUACCGGUGGCGAAGGCGGCCCCCUGGACGAAGACUGACGCUCAGGUGCGAAAGCGUGGGGAGCAAACA